GAUGUAACUAUUGUCUUUUACAUGCAUAUAUAUGCAUACAUAUAAUAAAUAUUGUGUUAUAAAAAUAAAUGCUUUUAAUAUUAAUAUGACAUGUUUAAACUCCUUCAUAAAUUUUCCUAUUUGUAUUUUGAUUUAUUGGUGAUACAAAUGAACGUUUAUCUUUACUGUUUACAAGGGAUAUGAAGCUGAAUUUCGUAGAUGGUAUGGGGAACUUUAUCAAUUCAGAUGCCUUCUUGAUCCAGGGGUAAAAUUUGCCCUAUUUACUGCAACUGCGACCAAACAAGCAGAAAAUUCUGUUAUGCUUGAAAUUGAUCAUUCAGAUACAUUUUUUAUUGAAAAAAUCCUAAGCGAAAAAUUAUUAAAUAUUGUGUUGAGUAUGUUGAAAAUGAUUUAGAAAUUGCAAGCAUUUUCAGUUCUUUUAUCAAUGCAUUAAUUGAAAAAAAAGACAGGUGCUCUCGAAGGCCAAUUUAUACACAAACACGAAGCCAAUGUGCUGCAAUUUUCAAUGCAUUCAGCUCGGAGUUAGAGAACAUUUUUCUUUACAGUGAGCCAAAUCAAAGGUUUCGUCUUGUUGAUAUGUUUCAUGGCGGAACUCCUGAAAUGGUAAAGAAACAUAUUGUCUCACAACUGACACUCCCUGAUAGCUGCCUAAGUGUUGUAAUAUGAACUAUUGCUUUUGGGAUGGGUAUUAACUGCUCCCAUGUUGUUGAAAGCAUUCAUUUUGGGGUGCUAAAAUCCAUUGAAACAUAAGUAGUAGACAAGUGCGGUUUCUGGCUCAUUUUGGUGAAAUCCCCCCACCCCCACCCCCAGGAUGACAAUUCUUCUGCAUACCUUUUGUGCACAUCUGAUGACGUCACUUCCGGUUUACCGCAAAUUAGGCUUGCCCAAACAUGCCCAAAAGGGGAAUUCCCUUUUACCAAUUAGUUCCUAGAAUUCCGUUUUCCUGGAUAAACUAUGACGUCACUUCGGUUUCCUACAAUCCCCCUCACGCCCCUCUCGGAACCAUCAGCCUACUGGACCCUAUUCCCCAUCAGGCGCACCCCUUACACAACCAUCCCAAGUCCUCCCCCAGACCCCCACAAACAUUCACCCCACGCGCCUGCAGAAUGCUUUCCGAAGUUUUUCCAAGUUAAGUCUCCAUAAAGUCUUCCCAAGGUCUUCCCAAAGUCUUCCCACCGGUAAACGGUUUAAAGAUAAAUGUUUUUAGAUUUAAAUAAAACAUGGAUCUUUUCAGGAAGUUGGUAGAGAAACAUUUAGCUCUUGAGCAAACAUCGGUUAAAAAUGGAUCUUUUCAGACAAGCGGAAAAGGAGUACUUAGAUUUGAUGGGUAUUAAAGGGGUUCACAAGCAGCCUAAUGUUGAGGCGAGCGGUCAGCAGUUGUGCUUUAAAAGACGUAAUCAUCAAUUUGUGAACCUUUCCGGAGUAAUGACAUGCGAUUCGUGCGGAGUGGAAACUAAUCCCUGUACCUUGUUGGGACACAGCAAUUCCAAGAGGUCAGGACAAAAGUAGCUGAUAUCAGUCAUAGAUGAAUUAAAAAUGGUCAUGUCCAGCCAAACUCUUGAUAUUUUAGCAAUUAAUGAGACGCGUUUAGACAGCACAAUUGCUGACAAGGAUAUUUCAAUAAUAGGAUACAAUGUAGUACGUAAAGAUAGAAAUUAGACACGGGGGUGGAGUUCUGGGGCCGGUUGUACGAAAAGUGGAUAAGUCCUAUCCAAUGGAUAAAUCUCCUAUCCAAUGGAUAGCUAUCUGCCGAAUAAAAAUGCGUUGUACGAAGCACGGAUAGCAGGGUGGAUAGCUAUCCGUCGGAUAACCUUAAUUUUAACCGGAGAAAACCGGAUUUUCCUGAAAUUUCUUAUCUCAACGCCAGCUGUUGCUAGGUAUUUGUAAACUUUUGUUGUAGUAACUUGUGAAUUCCACUAACCUUUGAACUAUCAACUUGCAAUAAAGGUUUUUUGUUCAUGUUUAUAUUUUGGAGUUUUUCUCGUCCAAUCGUUGCAAUACUUCGUUUUCCCACAGUGAAGAGUUUGCUAUCUACUUAUCGAUAUUUCUUUAAACUAAUUUUGGCUUCUUUAUGCGAAGGCAAUAGCAAAGACUGCGAGUUUUGUUUUCUUGUUUCAGUACGUUGAUUCAGUUUUAUUUUAAAUACUGUCGGAAUAUUUGUUCUUUG
rnacentral:lncRNA from 1 species